GGUUAAGCGACUAAGCGUACACGGUGGAUGCCCUGGCAGUCAGAGGCGAUGAAGGACGUGCUAAUCUGCGAUAAGCGUCGGUAAGGUGAUAUGAACCGUUAUAACCGGCGAUUUCCGAAUGGGGAAACCCAGUGUGAUUCGUCACACUAUCAUUAACUGAAUCCAUAGGUUAAUGAGGCGAACCGGGGGAACUGAAACAUCUAAGUACCCCGAGGAAAAGAAAUCAACCGAGAUUCCCCCAGUAGCGGCGAGCGAACGGGGAGCAGCCCAGAGCCUGAAUCAGUAUGUGUGUUAGUGGAAGCGUCUGGAAAGGCGCGCGAUACAGGGUGACAGCCCCGUACACAAAAAUGCACAUGCUGUGAGCUCGAUGAGUAGGGCGGGACACGUGGUAUCCUGUCUGAAUAUGGGGGGACCAUCCUCCAAGGCUAAAUACUCCUGACUGACCGAUAGUGAACCAGUACCGUGAGGGAAAGGCGAAAAGAACCCCGGCGAGGGGAGUGAAAAAGAACCUGAAACCGUGUACGUACAAGCAGUGGGAGCACGCUUAGGCGUGUGACUGCGUACCUUUUGUAUAAUGGGUCAGCGACUUAUAUUCUGUAGCAAGGUUAACCGAAUAGGGGAGCCGAAGGGAAACCGAGUCUUAACUGGGCGUUAAGUUGCAGGGUAUAGACCCGAAACCCGGUGAUCUAGCCAUGGGCAGGUUGAAGGUUGGGUAACACUAACUGGAGGACCGAACCGACUAAUGUUGAAAAAUUAGCGGAUGACUUGUGGCUGGGGGUGAAAGGCCAAUCAAACCGGGAGAUAGCUGGUUCUCCCCGAAAGCUAUUUAGGUAGCGCCUCGUGAAUUCAUCUCCGGGGGUAGAGCACUGUUUCGGCAAGGGGGUCAUCCCGACUUACCAACCCGAUGCAAACUGCGAAUACCGGAGAAUGUUAUCACGGGAGACACACGGCGGGUGCUAACGUCCGUCGUGAAGAGGGAAACAACCCAGACCGCCAGCUAAGGUCCCAAAGUCAUGGUUAAGUGGGAAACGAUGUGGGAAGGCCCAGACAGCCAGGAUGUUGGCUUAGAAGCAGCCAUCAUUUAAAGAAAGCGUAAUAGCUCACUGGUCGAGUCGGCCUGCGCGGAAGAUGUAACGGGGCUAAACCAUGCACCGAAGCUGCGGCAGCGACGCUGAUGCGUUGUUGGGUAGGGGAGCGUUCUGUAAGCCU
rnacentral:rRNA from 1 species